rnacentral:rRNA from 1 species
CCCGUAAUCCGGGUUGCGGACAGUGUCUGGUGGGUAGUUUGACUGGGGCGGUCUCCUCCUAAAGAGUAACGGAGGAGCACGAAGGUUGGCUAAUCCUGGUCGGACAUCAGGAGGUUAGUGCAAUGGCAUAAGCCAGCUUGACUGCGAGCGUGACGGCGCGAGCAGGUGCGAAAGCAGGUCAUAGUGAUCCGGUGGUUCUGAAUGGAAGGGCCAUCGCUCAACGGAUAAAAGGUACUCCGGGGAUAACAGGCUGAUACCGCCCAAGAGUUCAUAUCGACGGCGGUGUUUGGCACCUCGAUGUCGGCUCAUCACAUCCUGGGGCUGAAGUAGGUCCCAAGGGUAUGGCUGUUCGCCAUUUAAAGUGGUACGCGAGCUGGGUUUAGAACGUCGUGAGACAGUUCGGUCCCUAUCUGCCGUGGGCGCUGGAGAACUGAGGGGGGCUGCUCCUAGUACGAGAGGACCGGAGUGGACGCAUCACUGGUGUUCGGGUUGUCAUGCCAAUGGCACU